CUUCAUCAGAAGGCCGAGUGUUGGCUUGUGCGUUACUACUUCUUGUAAUGGUCAUCCUUCUCGUCGUCGUAAGAGCCUGGAUGUUCCUCAACCAAGGUACAGGAGAGAUCCACAAUCGAAUCCCAUCGACGAUGUCAAAGGUCACACAUGCCACAUCCAUCGCAACACAGGAUACAACGACGCCAAAACUCACACAGAGCACAACCACUACAACGAGUA